rnacentral:rRNA from 1 species
AUCAAAAUUAGGAAUACCCCUAAAAGUAUUAACAACUUUAAACAAAACAUUUUUCCACUUUAGUAUGGGAGACAAAAAAAGACAUAGGCGCUAUAGAAUAAGUACCGUAAGGGAAUGUUGAAAGAGGGUUGAAAAAGAUCAAUUAAGUUUAAUAAAGCAAAGAUUAACUCUUGUACCUUUUGCAUCAUGGUUUAGCCAGAAUAAUUUAAGCAAAGUGUACUUAAGUUUAAAACCCCGAAACCAGGUGAGCUACUUCAAGACAGCCUUUAAAGGGCUAACCCGUAUCUGUGGCAAUAGAUUGGGGUGAUCUUCAAGUAGAGGCGAAAAACCUAUCGAACUUGGUUAUAGCUGGUUGUCUAAGAAAAGAAUAGAAGUUCAGCUCAACCCCACAAUCGCAUCACACAUGUUUACCUAACUAAAGGCAGAGAUUACUAGAGGUUGGAGUUAGUCAAAAGAGGUACAGCUCUUUUGAUUAAAGAAACAGCUUUUUAGGGAGGUUAAAGGUUGAAUAUAAAGAAUAAUACCCAAGUGGGCCUAAUGGCAGCCAUCUUAAAGGAAAGCGUUAAAGCUCAAGUACUAAACACUCAUCUAUACCUAUAAUUACCCUUAAACCCCCAAAUUUUAUUAGACUUUCUUAUCAUAUGAUGAGAACAAUAAUGCUAAUAUGAGUAAUCAGAGGAUUAAGACCCUCUCUUAACACGAGUGUACAUCGGAACGAACCCACACCGAAAAUUAACGCACCUAAUCAAAGAAGGAAAUGCACAUGAACUAAUAAACAAGAAAACCCACCACACAACAAAGCGUUAACCCUACACCGGAUUGUUAAAUAAGAAAGACUAAAAGGAGAAGAAGGAACUCGGCAAAUAAUUUAAAAGCCUCGCCUGUUUACCAAAAACAUCGCCUCUUGAACAAUCAAAAUAAGAGGUCCUGCCUGCCCGGUGACUAUACGUUUAACGGCCGCAGUAUUUUAACUGUGCGAAGGUAGCGCAAUCACUUGUCUUUUAAAUGGAGACCUGUAUGAAUGGCAUGACGAGGGCUUAACUGUCUCCUUCUCCCGGUCAAUGAAAUUGAUCUCCCCGUGCAGAAGCGGGGAUAAAAACAUAAGACGAGAAGACCCUGUGGAGCUUCUAGACACACAGAAGUUUAUGUCAAUUACAUUCAAUAAAAUAAUGAACUAAAUAACACACUACUGAAAGUCUUUGGUUGGGGCGACUAUGGGGAAAUAAAUAACCCCCAUGAGGAAGAAAAUGAUUUCUUAAAGACAAGAGUUACGACUCAAAACAUCAGAAUAUCUGACCUACAUGAUCCGGUAAUACCGAUCAACGAAACAAGUUACCCCAGGGAUAACAGCGCAAUCCCCUCCAAGAGUUCUUAUCAACGAGGGGGUUUACGACCUCGAUGUUGGAUCAGGACAUCCUAAUGGUGCAGCCGCUAUUAAGGGUUCGUUUGUUCAACGAUUAAAGUCCUACGUGAUCUGAGUUCAGACCGGAGUAAUCCAGGUCAGCUUCUAUCUAUGAAACACCCCUCUUUAGUACGAAAGGACCAAUAGGGGAGGGCCUAUUUUAAAAAAACGCCUACCCCUUACCUGCUGAAACCAUAUCAAACAGCCGAAAGGAGAGCCUGCUAUGCUUUAAAUCAAAGCAA